GACGAACGCUGGCGGCGUGCUUAACACAUGCAAGUCGAACGGAAAGGCCCUGCUUUUGUGGGGUGCUCGAGUGGCGAACGGGUGAGUAACACGUGAGUAACCUGCCCUUGACUUUGUGAUAACUUCAGGAAACUGGGGCUAAUACCGGAUAUGAGCUCCUGCUCCAUGGUGGGGGUUGGAAAGUUUCGGAGGUUGGGGAUGGUCUCGCGGCUUAUCAGCUUGUUGGUGGGGUAGUGGCUUUCCAAGGCUUCGACGGGUAGCCGGCCUGAGAGGGUGACCGGCCACAUGGGGACUGAGAUACGGCCCAGACUCGUACGGGAGGCAGCAGUGGGGAAUAUUGCACAAUGGGCGGAAGCCUGAUGCAGCAACGCCGCGUGCGGGAUGACGGCCUUCGGGUUGUAAACCGCUUUCGCCUGUGACGAAGCGUGAGUGACGGUAAUGGGUAAAGAAGCACCGGCUAACUACGUG
rnacentral:rRNA from 1 species